rnacentral:tRNA from 1 species
GGCAGUGUGGCCUAGUGGCUAGGGCACUAGAUUAGCACUCAGAAGACCUGGGCUCUAUUCCCAGUUCUGCCG